rnacentral:lncRNA from 1 species
GAAAGCAACUCUAGUGGCCAGGCAAAGUAUAAUCAGUCAAUAUAUUUUUCUUCAAACAAAAAAAAUAUGCAAUAAUGAGAAUAUAAAAACGGAAAUCAUUCUACAUGCCCAGUGCUCCUGGAUAUAAGAAUGCAUGAAGGGACAGAGAGAGAAGGUAAAAAAGACAAGUUUACCUCUGUAGAAAGGAUUAUUAGAAAAUACAGAUGCUCAAAAUAUUUUUGGAAAGAUCAGACUAUUCUUAGGAAUAUGAGCCAUUCCUUUGAAUGUUGGAGUCAGCUCCAGUCUUCCUGCUCACAUCAGUGAACAACAGCUGUCCAUCACCGGACUUACCCGUUUCCUGUUAACCUCCAAGGCAACAACGACUGUUCAAUUUCUGAUUUUUCUUUCUACAAACCAGUUUCUUCUUCAUCAAAAUGAAGAAAGUACUCAGAAAUCAAGACUUCAUUUACACUCCCAGUAUCCUCAGGAGGAAGUCAAAUGACAGAAAAUCCAUUCUUCAAAGAAAAAAAGUUGUCUAGACUGUGUAUGUGACAGUGUAAAAUAGAGUGAUUCUGAAUAGACUGACCCUUCUGCCACAGAGAUAAAACCUGGAUCACCCGAACCUUCUCUUUACCCUCAGACUACCUGAGCCCUUGGAAAGACAAAAAUCUUCCCUCAUUCAGCCACUUCUCUCUCUCUUCUUCACUCCUACACCACAAACUACAAAUCCUUUCUUCUCCCUCAUUUCAAAGACAAGUCCUCAUUCCCUCCUUAGAGAAUAUACUAACAUGUACCUCUUGACAUCUUUGGAGGUUGAGGAAGAAAUCAACCAACCCAGGCAGAGAAUAACAGAUUCCUUAAAAAAGAACCCAUCAAAGAGAACAUUAUACUCAAGAGAUGCAUUUGCAAGGCAAAAGUGAAAAAGAAAAAAAAUAUAAAAGAAAAAAUAACAUGUACAAGAA